UAAGCUUACCGUGUUUGAUGGGACAAAAACACUAGGUGGUGCAUGGAUUGUCGGCUUCUAGUCUUCGUGUCUGUGGAGAUGUUGUGGGUUAAGUCCCGCAACGAGCGCAACCCCUCUCACUGGAUAGUUACUACGCAAGAGGACUCUAUUCACACUGCCGUAUGAACAACAACGGAGGAAGGUGGGGAUGAGCGUCAAAUCAUCAUGCCCUUUAUGACUUGGGCUACACAGCGUACUACAAUGGCGUUCAGCGAAAGAGAAGCGAAAUCGCGAGAUGGAGCAAAACUCAAAAACAACGUCCCAGCUUCAAUUGCAGGCUGCAACUCGCCUGCAUGAAGUCGGAAUUGCUAGUAAUCGCAAUCACAUGCUGCGGUGAAUACGUUCCCGGGUCUUGUACACACCGAGG
rnacentral:rRNA from 1 species